CCUGGUUGAUCCUUCCAGUAUUUAUAUACUUGUCUCAAAGACUAAGCUAUGCAUGUGUAAGUAUGCACAAAUUCAGACUGUGAGACUGCUUGGAUAAUUGUAGUAAUUCUAGAGCUAACACAUGUAACAAACCUUGACUUCUAUAAGGGAUGAAUUUAUUAGAUAAAAGGUUGAUGCGGGAUCUACCUUCUGCUGCAAUGAUUCAUGAUAACUCAACAGAUCGCACGACCAUCAUACCGGCGAUGCAUUAUUCAAAUUUUUUUCCUAUUAACUUUCGAUGGUAGGAUAGUGACCUACCAUGGUUGUAAUGGCUGAUAGAGAAUUAGGGUUUAAUUCUGGAGAGAGAGCCUUAUAAAUGGAUACCACAUUCAUGGAAGGCAGCAGGCGCCUAAAUUACCCAAUCCUAACACGGGGAGGUAGUGACAAUAAAUAAAAAUACCGAGAUCAAUGAGUCUUGUAAUAGGAAUGAGUACAAUCUAAAUCCUUUAAUAAAGAUCCAUUGGAGGGCAAGUCUGGUGCCAGCAGCCAUGGUAUAUCCAGCUCCAAUAGCAUAUAUUUAAGUUGUUGCAGUUAAAAAACUCUUAGUUGGACUUUAGGAUGGGCUGACUGGUCCUCCUAUGGUAUGCACCGGUCGUCUCGUCCCUUCUAUCGGUGAUGUGCUCCUAGCCUUAACUGGUUGGGUCGUGCCUUCGGCGCUGUUACUUUGAAGAAAUUAGAGUGCUAAAAUCAAGCCUACGCUUUGUAUACAUUAGCAUAGGAUAUCAUCAUAGGAUUUUGGUCCUAUUACAUUGGCCUUCGGGAUCAGAGUAAUGAUUAACAGGGACAGUCGGGGGAAUUCAUAUUUCAUUGUCAUAGGUGAAAUUCUUGGAUUUAUGAAAGACAAAACUGUGAUAGCAUUUUCCAAGGAUGUUUUCAUUAUUCAUGAACGAAAGUUGGGGGUUCGAAGACGAUCAGAUACCCAUCCUAGUCUCAACCCUAAAUGAUGCCGACCAGGGAUCGGCGGAUGUUGCUUUUAGGACUCCGCCGGCACCUUAUGAGAAAUCAAAGUUUUCGGAUUCCGGGGGGAGUAUGGUCGCAAGGCUGAAACUUAAAGGAUUUGACAGAAGGGCACCACCAGGAGUGGAGCCUGCGGCUUAAUUUGACUCCACAUGGGGAAACUUACCAGGUCCAGAUAUAGUAAGGAUUGACAGGCUGAGAGCUCUUACUUUAUUCUGUAGGUGGUGGUGCAUGGCCGUUCUUAGUUGGUGGAGUUAUAUGUCUUGUUAAUUUCGUUAACAAAUGAGACCUAAGCCUGCUAACUAGCUAUACGGAGGUAUCCCUUCGCCGCCAACUUCUUGGAGGGACGACAACCUUUUAGGCCGUGAAAGUUUGAGGUAAUAACAGGUCUGUUAUGCCCUUAGAUGUUCAGGGUCACACGCGCUCUACACUGAUGUAUUCAAUGAUUUUAUAACCUUGGCCCACAGUCCCUGGUGAUAUUUUAAAUUUCAUCAUCAUAGGGAUAGAUCAUUGAAAUUGUUGGUCUUUAAUGAGGAUAUUCUAGUAAGCGCAAGUCAUCAGCUCACAUUGAAUACAUCUCUACCCUUUGUACACACCGCCUAUCGCUCUUACCGAUUGAAUGAUCCGGUGAAAUAUUUGGAUCGCAAUAACGUAGGCGGUUCGCUGAUCGCGGUGUUGUGAGAAGUACAUUGAACCUUAUCAUUUAGAGGAAAGAGAAGUCGUAACAAGGUUUCCAUAGGUGAACAUGCGGAAG
rnacentral:rRNA from 1 species